rnacentral:rRNA from 1 species
GAGCCCGCACAAGCAGUGGAGUAUGUGGAUUAAUUCGACGCAACGCGAAGAACCUUACCAGGACUUGACAUCCAAGGGAUUCGGGGUAAUGCCUGAAGUGCCUUCUUAUGAAGGAACCUUGAGACAGGUGGUGCAUGGUUGUCGUCAGCUCGUGUCGUGAGAUGUUGGGUUAAGUCCCGCAACGAGCGCAACCCUUACGGUUAGUUGCUACGCAAGAGCACUCUGGCCGGACUGCCGUUGACAAAACGGAGGAAGGUGGGGACGACGUCAAAUCAUCAUGCCCCUUACGUUCUGGGCUUCACACGUACUACAAUGGCGCAAACAAAGGGAAGCGAAGCCGCGAGGCGGAGCAAAUCUCAAAAAAGGCGUCCCAGUUCGGACUGCAGGCUGCAACUCGCCUGCACGAAGUCGGAAUUGCUAGUAAUCGCGGAUCAGCAUGCCGCGGUGAAUACGUUCCCGGGCUUU